AUACGGAGGGUGCAAGCGUUAUCCGGAUUUAUUGGGUUUAAAGGGUGCGCAGGCGGAAUGAUAAGUCAGUGGUGAAAUCCUACAGCUUAACUGUAGAACUGCCAUUGAUACUGUUGUUCUUGAGUACAUUUGAGGUAGGCGGAAUGUAUCAUGUAGCGGUGAAAUGCAUAGAUAUGAUACAGAACACCGAUAGCGAAGGCAGCUUACCAAACUGUAACUGACGCUCAGGCACGAAAGCGUGGGGAGCAAACAGGAUUAGAAACCCUAGUAGUCC
rnacentral:rRNA from 1 species